GACGAACGCUGGCGGCGUGCUUAACACAUGCAAGUCGAGCGAGACCCCGCUUUCGGGUGGGUGUUCUAGCGGCGAACGGGUGAGUAACACGUGGGCAACCUGCCCUCAGCUCUGGGAUAACUCCAAGAAAUUGGGGCUAAUACCGGAUAUGACCGCUGACCGCAUGGUCUGGUGGUGGAAAGAUUGAUCGGCUGGGGAUGGGCCCGCGGCCUAUCAGCUUGUUGGUGGGGUAGUGGCCUACCAAGGCGACGACGGGUAGCCGGCCUGAGAGGGUGACCGGCCACACUGGGACUGAGACACGGCCCAGACUCCUACGGGAGGCAGCAGUGGGGAAUAUUGCGCAAUGGGCGAAAGCCUGACGCAGCGACGCCGCGUGGGGGAUGACGGCCUUCGGGUUGUAAACCUCUUUCAGCAGGGACGAAGCUAAAGUGACGGUACCUGCAGAAGAAGCACCGGCCAACUACGUGCCAGCCGCCGCCGUAA
rnacentral:rRNA from 1 species